rnacentral:rRNA from 1 species
UUGAAAGGGAAACGAUUGAAGUCAGGUCGUGCUGGCGCGAAAUCAACCUUCUCGUCUUGAGNAUCACAUGGCGUGGCGAGCCUCAAAACCGUCACGAAGCGUGNACUCUUGGUGAAAUGGAGCACUUUCGUGUCCGCUGGUUAACAUCAAUUUCGAACGUCAUAAAAAGGCUGGAGGGAUGUAGCUCCUUCGGGAGUGUUAUAACCUUUAGCGGAAUGUGGUGUUCGGGAUUGAGGAUUGCAACGAAUACCUUUAGGGCUGUUCCACCUGGCUUCUCUUUGGUAUCCUGGUGACGACAGCUUGCUGACGUCGUUAGGAUUCGCCUUUGAACAGGUUAGAGUGUGAGCAAAUUCGUUAAGGAUGUUGACGUA